AAUCAACGCUGGCGGCGUGCCUAACACAUGCAAGUCGAACGCGACUGAGGCUUCGGCCUCAGUUGAGUGGCGAACGGGUGAGUAACACGUGGGUGACCUACCUUCGAAUGGGGGAGUAACGUCCCGAAAGGGACGCUAAUACCGCAUAAGAUCCUGUCUUUGAACAGGCGGAGAUCAAAGCUGGGGAUCGCAAGACCUGGCGUUUGAAGAGGGGCCCGCGUCCGAUUAGCUAAUU
rnacentral:rRNA from 1 species